GGGGAUGUAUUAGAUUCGACAGGAAUUAGUUCUCUAAAACUGCAAACCGAGGGGACCUCGUAAAACUCCAACCAAACAAUAAGUGCCAACUUAUUUCAACCUAAACCUGCGCUAGCAACAGUCUAACGCACGUCUCUUUGCUGACUCCCGAUAAGCAAAGAAGGCGCCACCCAUCGGGAUAGGUAAUCUUGGCAAGCCUGACCAAGACCUACCGAAAACAACCAGGCUAACGGUAGAAAGGUUUUGCCCAAUUUAAAACUUUCUGCUAACAUCCUAAAUUGGGACAAGUUUGUAGAUUGUUCUAGAAACAAUUUCUGGACAAGGGGGCAGAUCCCUUCAUCUCCACAA
rnacentral:tmRNA from 1 species